rnacentral:lncRNA from 1 species
UCUGUACCCCGGCUGUUCGAGGCUGCACUCUUACCAAGAGUGUUGGUCCCAAUUGGUCCGCCUUGCCUCUCAUUGUAAUAAACUUUGUUGUGACUGUCACUGGUGCCCGUAGCAUUCUGUUUCAGGAGUCGUGUGGAUGCAACAACCUGAGCUGAAAUCAAGAUUUGGACACUCAAGCUCAAUGGACUGAGCCAUUCAGGUACCCCUCUCCUUUCUCUCUUGAUGACAGAUUGCAAGCAGGGGGUGGGGCUGGGGGGAGUGGCUGGGAGUGGGAUGUACUCAUUUGUUCAACCAGCAGAGACUGGGAACUGACUGGAUGUAUUAGUUUCCUAGGGCUGCCCUAAUAAAAUACCACAAACUGGGUGGCUGAAAACAGCACAACUUUAUGGUCUCACAAUUCUAGAGAUUAGAAAUCUGAAAUCAAAGUAUCAGCAGGGGCAUGUUUUCUCUGAAGAUUCCAGGGGAACAUCUAUUCCAUGCUUUUCUCCUAACUUCUGGAAUGGCCCCCAGCCCCUGGUGUUCCUUGGCUUGUAGGCACAUCACUCCCAUCUCUCCCUCCGUCCUCACAUGCCUUUCCUUCUGUGCACCUGUGUUGACAUGAUAUUUUCCUCUUCUUUUUUAAAAAAUUUUUAUGUUCAUUUUAUUUUUGAGAGAGAGAGAGAGAGACCUAGACAGAGUGGGAGUGGGGGAGGGGCAGAGAGAGAGGGAGACACAGAAUCCGAAGCAGGUUCCAGGCUCUGAGCUGUCAGCACAGAGCCGNNNNNNNNNNNNNNNNNNNNNNNNNNNCGCGGACGCGGGGCUCGAACCCACAAACCUUCAGAUCAUGACCCGAGCUGAAGUUGGUGCUGAACUGACUGAGCCACGCCAGUGCCCCAAUAUUUUCCUCUUCUGAGAAAGGCACCGGUCAUUGGGGUCCCCCUUCAUGGGUUAACCCUUCAUGGGUUAAGACUUGAAUAGAUCUUUUCGGGGACACAACUGAGCCCAGCACUGGGGGCUUAUGCCUUAGCGGGGCAUGCGCUGGAGGUCCAUGUGCAGCCGAGGGAUCAGGUGAGGUUGAGACAGCCCCCAGCCCCAUGGGCCAUCUGGCUGGGUUGAGGUAGUGAUGGGACUGGAGGGCUGGGCCUGGAGAGGCUCGAGNNNNNNNNNNNNNNNNNNNNNNNNNNNNNNNNNNNNNGGCUCGAGUCACUAGGCAGCUUCUGACAUAGGGCUUCAGCACUGACUCUCCCACUUUCGCAGCCAGUGACCUGGGGCAGGCAGUGACAUGUGGCUCUGAUUUCUGGCGGGGAUAUAAUUAGAAGGGAGAUCUGGACUUUUGGAAAGCAAAGGGACCCUGGGGACCACCUAAUCCAGACAUUUCGCAGAUGGGAAGCCGAGGCAAUUCCAUAAGCCCCUAUGCGUUCUGGUUGGGUGCUUGUGCAGGGGUGGGCAGCCCUGGGCUGUGGGCCGUGGCUCUCACUGGUGGUGGGGAAGGGGUGGCUGCUGAGUCCACCCUCGGCCCCUGAGCCCUAAUCAGAGCCUGAAGCAGGUUCUAUUCCGGGCCACCAACAAGAGUCUGAAGUGUGCUUUUCUCUUGGGGCGCCUGGGUGGCUCAGCCAGUUGAGCAUCCAACUUCAGCUCUGGCCGAAAUCUCAUGGUUGUUGAGUUCGAGCUCCACAUCGGGCUUGCUGCUGUCAGCACAGAGCCCACUUCGGAUCUUCUGUCCCCCCUCUCUCUCUGCCGUUUCCUCACAUGCGCUCUCUCUCUCUCUCUCUCAAAAAUAAAUAAAUCUUUAAGAAAAAAAAAAAGUGUGCUUUUCCCAGAUGGGUAUUUUGGUCUGAAGCUGCUUGGAGGAAGAGGUGGGUUGGGGGGAGGGGGUGUCGUCCUGUUUCAGUUCUGACUCUCACUUCCACCCUCCUGGUGCCUGUGGGUGUCAUGCAGGGCUGCUGUCCUCUGUGGUCCCCCUCGGCCUCUGCCUGGCUGCGUUUCUCACCACGUGCUUCAUCUGUUACCCUCUGCCCUUGGCUUUGCAUGCUCUCAAAAUUUCUCAUCUUCUCUCUUUUCUCUUUUACCCUCCUGUUUUGGUAAAGCUUGAUGGGGUGUUAAGCGGUGUGUGUGUGUGUGUGUGUGUGUGUGUACCAAAGCUGCCCCCUUUGCAUGGCACUGUGCUGCCUCCCACUGUUUCAUAGGAUCCGCAAGCUCCGUGGGCACAUAUUCUGUUCCUGUGCUCCUUUUCCACGGCCUCCUGGAGUCAACAUUGGCAUGCCUGCCAGACCUCGUGCCAUGUUCCUUAAAUAGCUCAUCCCCAAGCAGUCCCAUCCUGGGCUCCAGCUGCAGUGUACAGCUAAGGCCAGGGCAGAGGGCGCCAGUGUGGGCACCCAUGGGCUAGAAGUCUGAGCAGCCGGAGUGUUUGCAGCCGGCAGUGUCAGCACAGUUGACAAACCAUCAAGAGUAGAGGGAACGUGAGGUUUGGGGUCUCUGUACUGGACUUCCCAUUCAUUCCAAAAGACGUACUGAGCACCUGGAAUGUGCCAAAUUCUGUGCUAGGCAUCGGAGGGAGCGAUGGUGAACUACAGGGAGAAAGUCUUUCUCUCCUCCAGAGGUUCCGGUCAGCCAGGAGAAGAUGGAGCUGGAACCUGGGAGAACCUGCUUCCUGCUGAGAGUCGCUGGAUUGGUGGGGGGAUGGGCGCUGGCCAUGCCUGGAGCAGAGGGCGAGGGCAGGGUUGAGGACGCUAGGUGGCAGGACCCACCAGGUCGGCCACCCUCAGUGCUCAUGGCGGCCAUGCUCAUUGUUGGAGAUCUACGGGGCUACAACACAGAAAACCCCAGAAGGGCAGAGACUGUCAGUGGAUCUCCAUACCUCCCAAGGAGUCAAUGCCCAGAAAACAUUGGAGCGAAUGAACUUUGUGGAGUUUUGUUUAGGUCUUGAGCUUACUGGGGGGCACUGCAGGAGUUUAAAUUGGGGAGUAAGUGCGCCCGGCUGGCUGAGUGGGAAGAGCAUGCGACUCUUGAUCCCAGGGUUGUGAGUUUGAGCCCCGUGCAGGGUGUAGAGAUUACAAAAAAACCCACAAAAACGCUUAGAAACAAACAAAUAAAUAAACUUUUUAAAGAAAGAAAAGAAAAAAGAAAUAAAAUAAGGGGGGUCUGGGUGGCUCAGUCGGUUAAGUGGCUGACUUCGGCUCAGGUCGUAAUCUCACUCUCACAGUUCGUGAUUUUGAGCCCUGCAUCAGGCUCUCUGCUGUCAGCAUGGAGCCUGCUUCAGAUCCUCUGUCCCCCUCUCUCUCUCUCUGCCCCUCCCCUGCUUAUUCUCUCUCUCUCUCAAAAAUAAAUAAACAUUGAUUUUUUAAAAAAGAAAUAAAUAAAUUGGGGAGUAGGCCAGUUAGCUUUGUGCAUUUGUAAGAUCAUUUGGCUACCGUGGGAAAAGAGGGGAGUGGGCAGUGGAGCCUGGGGAAGGGGAAAGAAAGAUGAGGGCAGCAUGGGACCCACUUCAGCGGCCCAGUUGACCCGUGAGAGGAGCCCAGGAUGGUGGUGGCCAAGAGGUCGGAGCUCAGGGAAUGGGUAUGAACAGUAUGUAGGAGGUAAGCAGGACUUUGAGACUGGGGGGUGCAGGUGGGGAAGAGGACAGGUGGGGUAGGCAGAAUUUCUAAACUGGGCCCCCAGAGAGGUCCUGCCCUAAUUCCUAGAAUCUGUGGGUCCGCCAGGCUGUCACUCCUGUGAGUCUGUGAGUUGGCACCACCGACUGCCCUGGAUUAUCCAGUCUGGCCCAGCAUAUAACUGAUGAGUCCCUGAAGGCAGAGCACUUCCCUGGCUGGUGGCAGCUGGGCCAUUGAGGAGAUUAGAAGCUGGCUGUGAAGAUGGGAGCCUUGUGCAAGGACUGAACAGCAGCUGCAGGGAGACUGGAGCGACCUCGGCUGACAGGAAGGGGGACCCCAGUCCUGCAAGUUCCCUGCAGGAACUGAGUCCAGCCAACAACCGGAAUGAGCUUGGAAGAGGACCACCUGCCCUGAGCGCCAGGUGAGAUCACAGCGGGUAGAGACUUUGACUCAGCCUCCUGUAAAGCACUGAGCAGAGAAGCCCACUGCGCCAUCCCGUGACACUUCUCUUUUUUUUUU